UUAUGAAGCUGCAGGCCCAAUUAUUGGAACAACACAAAAUAUUAGAUAACAGCAAAGCUAAGGAUGGUAAGGCCUAAUACGUAAUGAUUCUAUUUAUUUGCUUUUAUUCAUUUGUGUUUUGUAGCUCAAAUUUUGAGUCUACAAGCUCAGCUAGGGGAAAAGAACCAAUUGGAAUGGAACAGUUUCCAAACAGUGAAGGAGGUUUUUCCAAACUCAUCCCUAACUGAACAUGAGGAUGAAUUGGCAUUAGGCGAACACAGUCAGUUAUUCAGUCUACCACCUGACAGUGUGUUAAAGUUAAAUUCUGUUAGUGCUGCACUAAAAGAAUUGUUAGUAAUAAGUCCAUGCAGCAAAGGAAGUGAACAAUUGUGGGACUGUAUUUGGGCUGAAAAUGGGUGUGGUAGGGAAACCCAGCAAUAGCACGAGUUCAACAUAAAACAUGAAUUGGAAUUUUAGUGGGGGAUCAAGUCAAGUCUGGAAGUGUUACAGGAUGGAAGAGUGAGCCUCCAGUUGAAAAACACUGAAAGUGCAUUACCAUUAAGGUAUGAGGUAAAGUAGAAUAUGCAAAUUGUCUAAUGAGAAGUACCAUCUUGUGUGAAUGAAUCCUGUGUAACAGCAAUCCUUUAUAGUUCUGUCACAGCUAGAAGCCUCAAAUAAUUCUGCUUCUCUUGCUAAAGAACAA